rnacentral:rRNA from 1 species
UACGAAGGGUGCAAACGUUGCUCGGAAUUAUUGGGCGUAAAGCGCACGCAGGCGGUGCGGCACGUUUGGGGUUACAGCUCCCGGCUCAACUGGGAGAGCGCCUCGAAGACGGCGGCACUUGAGGGCCAGAGAGGGACACGGAACUCCGGGUGGAGUGGUGAAAUGCGUAGAGAUCCGGAGGAACACCAAUGGCGAAGGCAGGGUCUGGCUGGCACCUGACGCCUGAUGUGCGAAAAGCCCAGGGGGAGGCGAAACGGGG